UCAUGUUGCACUACUAAUAAUCUAGUAUUUGCUUACACCUCGUUGCAGCUAGGAACUAACUUUCAGAUCUCCCCUGGUUUGCAAGAAGGUUUAAGAAACACCUAUAUGCACAUCAAUUCACACAGUGCGUUAUUUGAAUUGCGAUUCAUCAAAUGUCUUUAACAGAACCUAAUUAGAAUUUCCUCCCCUGGUGAAGAUGUAUUCACACACCACUGAUCCUUAUACUGUCACCUCCGUAGCCUCCAAUGUUUAUGACGAGCUUCUAGUUAUUGGGAGACAUUGGUGGUGACAGGUGAGUCGAUCAUUUAAGAAAAUGCAACGGUGAAGUUUUAAAGUAUACCUGUUUGUCUUUUUAUCUUAAUGUUUGUUACACAUUUUUUUUUCUACUGAAUGUGCUCCUCCCUCCUGAAUCAGGUAUUUAGGAGGUAGGGUGCACACAGGUUCUAUGGUGAUCAAGAACGUGCAUGCGUUCGAAACGCGUCCAUGUGAGUUGCCUGCCGGCAUGGUGAUGGUGUUUGGAGUGUGCUCUUUAUUUUAAAGGAAAGAAUAAAAUUCAACAUUUUAAGGCACUGCUGGACUAUUCCUUUCUUCUAUUGCUGACACGUAUGAAGCCAGGCCUGGCUUGAAGUCCACGCAGAUCGUGGAGGAGGUGAGCUGAAAGAGAAAUAUUUUCUAUUUUUGCAUGCCACCUUUUUGAAGCCUAACAGAGGAAAUGCUGACCCUACCUGUUGGAUAUCAAAUGAUAAAAUCUUACUUUCUACAUCCAUAAGGUGUACACGCAAUAUUAAGCGUUAUGUCCUGCGAAAUCAUACUGCCCACUUCCUGCUAGACACACCACGUACCAAGUAAGAUAUUUUGUCUAGUUCUCAAUCUUCUGGUGGUUGUUCCAGGUACACUCAAUUGUUGGAAAUAUGUUGGAUGUGGUUCUGGUCCCCAAUGUAGAUACAAUAGUAAUGUGACAAGAGGCAUCUUGGGAGGUAACUAUUUUGUGUGCUACCUAUUAUUAGAAGCUCUAGAUUCUACAUAGGGAAAACUGAAAGACAGUUACAUGUAAGUCAGAUAGCACUUGUAUUCUGUGAGAGUAAGAGGGGGCUUCCCAAGCUUUGUACAGCAUAUGCAGGAGGUACAGAAUAGUGACUGCAGUGAAUUGAGAUUUUGAGGGGAAGGUGAUAGGAGGCAUUGGUUACUUCAAACGGAGGCAGCUGGAUACUGAAGCUGGAUUCCCAGGGCCCGUUAAGUCUCAAUGAUAGACUGGAGUUCUACUUCAGGCACAGCGCAAUGAUGUGAACGAGGCCGGAAGAAGCGCAUCAUGCUGCGCGAAACCGCCGGCAGUCACCUCUGAGCGCCCCACACCAGCCCUGUCGUCCCGUCCAUGGAGGGUUCCGAGGUCGAGCCGUGAGGCAUCUGUGGUUGCGGUUUUCUAUGACUUCGAAUGCAUGCAGGAGACCGACAUCCAUAUUCCUAAUUGUAUUUAGGCCACAACAAUUCCUUGGAAUUUGAGGGUUAAACCCGUACACAUGACUGUGCAAUUCUUUACCAGUGGUAAAUUUACAGGUUGUAUCUCCCAGCAUUGUUCACUUUAAAGGGGAUCCACUUCACUCUGUAUAGCGGCAGAGAUCAAGCAAGGAGAUGGAGGUGGUGGUAGUGUCGGCAGAGGAGGAAGAGGAGGAGGAUGACAACGGACAGCAGGCAGGACCCUCCCAUCAUUCACCUGCUCCAUCACCACCUGAUGUGGUGGAAAAUGUGGAGGUGGAGGCCGAAGAAGCUUCUCCCUGUCAGGAGCUGCAACUCCCGCCCCCCAUCUCCUGAGGAGGAGGAGGAGGAAGUUGCCCACUGCCGCCCCCACCAGGAGGUUCUCUCUAAAUUAAAAACAAAGAUAAUCCAGCUGCACAGGAUGUCAAAGCAGCAAUGCUGGUAAUAAAAAAAUUAAAAAAACAGCAAAAAAAAAAAAUGAUGGAGCAGCAGCAGCGGCUUCUGGAGAAGGUGGUGAAUAAGCUGGAGGAGCAACACCAAAAUGGGAUGCAGGAGUUGCCGGACCUCCAGAAGCAGCUGAAACCAGUUGCAUUAGAGACGAACUUGCAGACCUUUUAAAGAAGUUCUGGAUCAUGGAAACAGGAGGUCUGUGCAAAAACACUUUUUGGAGGAUUUUAAAUCAUUACCUUUUGGAACCUAAUGUAGCUAAAAAGCUCUGGAUCUGUCUUUACAGCAACGCUCUUUGACUAUUAGCAUCGUGGAAACUUUGCUACAACAUCCUUUUUCAUGUAUUUUAGUGGGGCCAUCCAACUCUGGAAAGAGAUUUUGUAAAACAACUGAUGCACAAUGCUGGGACUCAUUUAUCACUUAUUCCCGAUAUAAUACUGUUUUGGCUUUAUAGGUGUUGACAAACUGAGGACCUGUCUUUUCCAAACAUUAAAAUUAUUGAAGGCCUACUGCAUAAAUCUAUAGAUGAUCUGUUUCCACCCAAUAAGUGACUUGUCCAGAUAAGGGUGAAGAUCGGAGCACCGCCAUGACUGUUAUGUAUUUGUAAUUCCAAAAAGUAACCACACAUCAGCCCAUAAGAUGGACGAGAUAUAAUUGAGGUCUGAGGAGAAGACGGGAACAAGGAUACGAUCCAAGAUGAAGGUUGUUAAAAUUCAGAUCUGAUGUGUCCUGUUAUUGUGCCCAUUUACCAUGCCUGUACUGUGAUCCUAUGCAUAUGUCUCAUAUAAACAUAAAGUAAA